GAUCUGGUUGAUUCUGCCAGUAGUCAUAUGCUUGUUUCAAGGACUUAGCCAUGCAUGCCUCAGAAUCACUGCAUUGCAGGAAUCUGCGCAUGGCUCAUUACAUCAGACGUAAUCUGCCGCAAAAAUCUUGCGGUCUCCGCAACAUUGGAUAACUUGGCGAAACGCCAAGCUAAUACAUGAACCAACCGGAUGUUCUCUGUUCCGGCGGCAGGGCAACACCUGCUGCCAUGGGACGUCCAGCGAAUGAAUGAAAGUAAAACCAAUGCCUUCACCGGCAGUAACACUCAGAAGUGUUGAUUCAAUUCAUUCCGUGCGAAAGCCGGGUUUUUUACCCGGCGUCUUUUGACGAACAACUGCCCUAUCAGCCAGCGAUGGCCGUGUAGUGGACUGCCAUGGCGUUGACGGGAGCGGGGGAUUAGGGUUCGAUUCCGGAGAGGGAGCCUGAGAAAUAGCUACCACUUCUACGGAGGGCAGCAGGCGCGCAAAUUGCCCAAUGUCAAAAAAAAAGAUGAAGCAGCGAAAAGAAUAGAGCCGACAGUG
rnacentral:ncRNA from 2 species